rnacentral:rRNA from 1 species
CCAAUAGCGUAUAUUAAAGUUGUUGCAGUUAAAAAGCUCGUAGUUGAAUUUCGGGAUCAAAUUGUUGGUCGUGCCUCGGUACGCACUGGUAUUAUUGGUUCCUACCUUCUGAAGAACCGCGAUGUCAUUAAUUUGGUGUCGUGGGGAAUCAGGACUGUUACUUUGAAAAAAUUAGAGUGUUUAAAGCAGGCUUACGCUUGAAUACAUUAGCAUGGAAUAAUGAAAUAGGACGUUUGAUUCUAUUUUGUUGGUUUCUAGGAUUGACAUAAUGAUUAAUAGGGAUAGUUGGGGGCAUUAGUAUUCAAUUGUCAGAGGUGAAAUUCUUGGAUUUAUUGAAGACUAACUACUGCGAAAGCAUUUGCCAAGGAUGUUUUCAUUAAUCAAGAACGAAAGUUAGGGGAUCGAAGACGAUCAGAUACCGUCGUAGUCUUAACCAUAAACUAUGCCGACUAGGGAUCGGAUGAUGUUAAUUUUUUAAUGACUCAUUCGGCGCCUUACA